rnacentral:lncRNA from 1 species
GUUUUAUCCUGGCAUGUUCAUCGAGGCAACCCCGAACUUUGAAUGCGAGUACUUGAGUGACACGGGCAUCUUUGCGUUCUGUUACUCAGAACAGCUACCCGUUGCGCAUUGCGUUCGCUCCUUGUACCGUGCCUUGGAGUUCAAUUGCCCCUCAGGGAACUACCCCUGCCGUCUCGGGCGUACAUUCUUUUCAUGUUCCGAGUUGCCUGAAUCAGUAAUUGACUCGUAGAUAUAACAGUCCCACGUCCCACGACCCGCGUCGCGAUACAGUCGAUAACAAUGGUGAUUUUUUCGAGAAUAUCGUCACAUUUUUUUUUUCUUCUAUUAUUGAUUUUCCACCAGACCAUUAGUCGAAUUAAUUUUCUCGACGACAAAAUAUUGACUCCUUGAUCGAAGAAACCCUCCAUCCAUCAUGCAUGCAGAUCGAAUGAUUCUUUCAAAUCGACUGAAUUGUAAGAUCAUAUUCUCUGACCAACUUCCAUAAGACACGCCAAGUGAACGUGAAGCCGGAGUAUAGUUUUAAUUUCCCGGGAUCUACGGAGGCCGCGAAUUUAGUAAUAUUUCUCGGCACAUUUAUCGCGAAGCAUGCUUGGCUACCAACAACCUGAACAUAAACCGCCUCUCACCGGCCUUACACCGACACUUUGGCGAUCGUAAUACCUAUGGACGAAUGUGCAUACCUAUAAGUAUGUACUAUGGCGGUAUACGAAAUCUUUGGCAGCGACCGUGUAUCAAUUUGACCUAGACUUCCUUAUAAUUAUAACAGCUACCGUACACCAAUGACCAAACAGUUGGCUUCCACCUUGUGAGAUGUACAAAAAUGGACUUGGCAAACUGCGGCAAUCUCGAAAAAAAGGAAAACAGGGCCGUACCUUUUACUACGUUCGCAAAACGAAAGCAUGCUGUAGCCGCAAGAAGACGCGACUGGUAGAAUCAGCAUGAAAAUCAGAAUCGUUCACCUUUUAGGACAGCGUUAUAGGUUACUUUAGGGCGCGGUUCACAUUACUGUACGUCAGCGGGGAUUGGAAGGCUCAACAAGCCUUCAAAACGUUAUCAACUCGUGGAAUACGCUCCUCGGUGAGAUGAGGAUUUAUCAUCAGGCUUUCGAAAUGAAUUAACGGACAAGGGGCGCUUCCUGUCUCAUCCUACUUAUUCAGUUAUUCGGACACGUAUGAAACGUUUGUUUCUCUACAUUCGGUAACUGCGGGACACAACGAUUCUUGGCCGCCGAUCGUCGGGAUCGUUUGUACGCACCAUUCAUCGAUACCGCACUGGUCCUGAUAUUACAAAAAAACGUAACGAACGAAAAACCGUUGCCGUUGCUAGUGGAAGAGCCAAUGGAAUGAAUUGUGAUUCAAUGCGAAAGAAAGGACGGCUAACGAUUGAAUUUGGAAUGUCGCGGGCGCGGCUCUGCCAUCCGGUUAAAUACGCCGUUGGGAGCUCGUACAACGUUGAAUAACGUAGGUGAAUACAUUAUACAUAUCGUUAUUAUACAUUCAGGGCAGGACGCUGUCUAUCUCUUUCCCAUGUACUCGGCCGACAUCAACCGUUUGUUCGAACACAACGUAGGACCAUCCCGCGCACGCAAUGAAAAGCAAAAUUGCCGGAGGCGACAAUCGGUUGAGACAAUUUGGCACCGGUGUCUAUGAAUUAUUCCAGCAUCUUUACCAUCAGGGGCGACCUUUCGGCACGCAACACACACGCGCACAAGCUGUGCCGUGUAAAAAAUGUGUAUACGCCUACGGUUGUGUAUACCAUCCUUGACCACUGAUCAAAACAACAUCGAGCUUUGUGCCGCUAUAGGCGUAUAAUCUCGACGUUCCAUCUGCGCACCGCUCUCACAUUUCUAUCGAAAAUAUCAUAUAGCUCACGGCGAUUGCUGUUCUAAUUCAUAUUGUACAGCUAUAUCGUAUCACUCUCCGUCGCGGCAACAUGCUGCGAGUGCCGAAUCUCGAUUCUCAUUUCACCUGUUCAACCGAACAACCGAUCUAAGUACGAUCCGAUCGAGAGGCCGACUGUUAGAUAGAUAUUGGAAAUUAUUUACGCAAAUUGCGUGUACCUAUAUAAAAACGCACAACGCUUUUUCAAAUACUCUUUUUAUCCCCUCCUAAUUGUCUUCCAAACCACGAUAUAAUAAUUAUGAUAAGUCAGCAGAAAGUGAAGGCGAGAGAGGGGGAAAGAAAGUCCAGAAUAAGAGCGGUCUCGAUUUCAGUUCGCGAACGUCCAGAAUGA